rnacentral:rRNA from 1 species
GACGAACCGGGCAAACGUUAUUCGGAAUCACUGGGCUUAAAGGGUGCGUAGGCGGCUCUGAAAGUUGGGUGUGAAAUCCCUCGGCUCAACCGAGGAAUUGCGCCCAAAACUGCAGAGCUUGAGGAAGGCAGAGGUGAGCGGAACUGAUGGUGGAGCGGUGAAAUGCGUUGAUAUCAUCAGGAACACCAGUGGCGAAGGCGGCUCACUGGGCCUUUUCUGACGCUGAGGCACGCAAGCCAGGGGAGCAAACGGG